rnacentral:lncRNA from 1 species
UACAAGUUGAAUAUUUUUUUGAUUAUAUAAAUACCAUAGGGUAAUUAAGGGCCAGAUGCAUGCCUGGUGGGAAUGACUAGUUGCGGUAUUCCUACCCCCCCCCAAGUUGAACCUUUUAUUACUGCUCUGUGGAGAGUGAACAAAACUAUGAUUAAAACUGUGAUGCUGUGGCUGGUUGUCUGCUUCUCAGCAGCUGCAGCAGGGAAAGGUGAUGAGAAGUUUAUCAGAGGGGGCCCUCCCGUGCUCUGUGCCCAGGGCCUGUUUGCUUCUUGUGCGGGUCGUCUCCAACACACUGCGAGCGGGAGCAAAUCGCUGCUCCUGGAGCAGGAGGCACAGGUACACUUGAAAUAAAACAGAAGUAUUGCGCCGAGGAGUUCCGAGACAGAAGGCCAAGCAUUUCUGCUGCAGUACAUACUAUGGAUGCCAUCAGAAGGUUGAAAUAUGGAAAGCACCAACAUACUCACCAUCCUGGCAUCUGAAGGCCUUUACUGUCCUCGUGUCACAUUGCAAAUAGACACUGUCUAGGCCCUGAGUAUUCCACCAGGCUCUGCAGCAUCUUUGCCUCCCUGGGAUUUUGGCUGCUGAUGUGCAAGAUCAGCACUGGCGUGGUGCAGGUGAGUUUGGACGUGCCUCAUCACUAUGGACUUGUCUCACGUCCAAGGAACUUUAGGCUGACACUUUUUAUCAUCACCCAACUCACUCUGCCCUUCUUUCUUGGGUACAAUGGGACUGCACCAGGUUGGGAGGACACUGCCCUGCUGUCUAGGUGAUGGCCUGUGACUCCCAGCUCGUCUUUGCAGAUCAACCCACUGAAACAUGGCAAGAUUCUGUAAUUAUACUAAAAUAGACCAAUAUUUUCUCAAGAAAUUUACUAGUCUUUUGAAAUGUUGCUCUGUGCAUCAAAUCCAUGUAUAAAAGAAAUGGUAAAUCAAUUAUUUCAACCUAGAAAGUUUUUUUUUUCUAUAGUCUACAUGCUAAUAGUCAACUGCAGACUGCCUA